GAGGAAUAUUGGUCAAUGGGCGAGAGCCUGAACCAGCCAAGUAGCGUGCAGGAUGACGGCCCUCCGGGUUGUAAACUGCUUUUAGUUGGGAAUAAAAAAAGGGACUUGUCCCUUCUUGUAUGUACCUUCAGAAAAAGGACCGGCUAAUUCCGUGCCAGCAGCCGCGGUAAUACGGAAGGUCCAGGCGUUAUCCGGAUUUAUUGGGUUUAAAGGGAGCGUAGGCGGAUUGUUAAGUCAGCGGUUAAAGGGUGUGGCUCAACCAUGCAUUGCCGUUGAAACUGGCGAUCUUGAGUGCAGACAGGGAUGCCGGAAUUCGUGGUGUAGCGGUGAAAUGCUUAGAUAUCACGAAGAACUCCGAUCGCGAAGGCAGGUGUCCGGGCUGCAACUGACGCUGAGGCUCGAAAGUGUGGGUAUCAAACAGGAUUAGAUACCCUGGUAGUCCACACAGUAAACGAUGUAUACUCGCGGUUUGCGAUAGACAGUAAGCCGCCAAGCGAGAGCAUUAAGUAUACCACCUGGGGAGUACGCCGGCAACGGUG
rnacentral:rRNA from 1 species